rnacentral:rRNA from 1 species
AUUGAACGCUGGCGGCAGGCCUAACACAUGCAAGUCGAGCGAGCGGCGGACGGGUGAGUAAUGUCUGGGGAUCUGCCCGGUGGAGGGGGAUACCUACUGGAAACUGUGUCUAAUACCGCAUCCUAUCAUGUGCCCCCCUAUGGGAUUAGCUUGUUGGUGGGGUAAGGGCUCACCUAGGCGACGAUCUCUAGCUGGUCUGAGAGGAUGACCAGCCACACUGGAACUGAGACACGGUCCAGACUCCUACGGGAGGCAGCAGUGGGGAAUAUUGCACAAUGGGCGCAAGCCUGAUGCAGCCAUGCCGCGUGUAUGAAGAAGGCCUUAGGGUUGUAAAGUACUUUCAGCGGGGAGGCGUUACCCGCAGAAGAAGCACCGGCUAACUCCGUGCCAGCAGCCGCGGUAAUAC